rnacentral:tRNA from 1 species
GGGUGAUUACCCAAGUCCGAUUGAAGGGAGCAGUCUUGAAAAUCGCCAGGGGGCUUCACGCGCGGGGGUUCGAAUCCCUCAUCACCCGCCA